UACGGGGGGAUGCAAGCGUUAUCCGGAAUUAUUGGGCGUAAAGGGUCCUGAGGUGGCUAGCCAAGUCUAUUGUGAAAUAUCAGGGCUUAACCCUGAACAUGCGGUGGAAACUAGAAAGCUUGAGUACAGUAGGGGCGGAGGGAAUUUCCGGUGGAGCGGUGAAAUGCAUAGAUAUCGGGAAGAACACCAACGGCGAAAGCACUCCGCUGGGCUGAUACUGACACUGACAGACGAAAGCUAGGGUAGCGAAAGGG
rnacentral:rRNA from 1 species